AUUAAUGUUUGCAUAUUAUUGUAAAGUUUUAUCAUGUCAUAUAAUGUUUUUUUCUCUUUUUUUUUUUGGUGAGUGUUACAUCUGCUCCUUACAGGCCAGCAGCAAGUUGCUAGUUUUGUUUCACAGCAGACCAGAGAGCCAUUUAUGGAGCCGUGCUGAAGUCCUCCAGGACUGUGAUGGGUGUCAUGAAACCAGUAUAUUGGGCAGGUUUUGUGGACGGGCAAUCUGCGAUAAACUUAUGAUGAUCCAUCAUGUGACUUUCUGUUGAACCACCUGAGAUGGUUGAAUUUGGAAGAUGACAUCACAAUAACAAUUGAUGGUGUGGAGGUGUUGACCUUCGUCUGUACUUCACAUCACAUGUGUCCCGAUAUCCACGUAAAACGGCAUCCUUCACACGCACACAUGUUUGGAGUAACACCAUGGCAGUAGCCCUACACACAACAGACUAUUUAAACUGAGCCAAGUAACCUUUUCUCUGUUUGAUUGAAUGCAGUUUAGUUUUAUGAUGAAUAGGCUGCAGUGUCAAGCUAGAACUGAUAUGUCGUGUGUGCUGGACUUAUAUUCAGGAGAAUAGAGUAGAUAAUAUUUAGCAUGUACAUGUAUUGUUUGUGUCUUGCCAGAGGAGGAUGGGCACCCUCAGUUGAGUCUGGUUCCUCUCAAGGUUUUCCCUCCACUACCUAAACCUCUUAUGGAGGGUUUUUUCCUUGCCACUGUCGCCUUUGGCUUGCUCAUGGGGGGCUUUGAGGCACAAUAUUCUGUUUAGCUGUUUUGAAAUAAAAGGUCUAAAACUUAAUUUGACCUUCAUGAUGUAGGAGAAAUUCUUAUUCACACUGGGAAAAUCUCUUCAUUUCAAGACUUUAUGUUGCAAAACUUGUCCAUAGCUGUGUUCAAGGGUGCAAAGGAAGGUUCAAGGGAACUUGAAGGAAGUCAUCUUUCUUCUUGGUUGUUUUGUGUGUUACCAUGAUGGUGUUUUGUAUUUGUGUGUAUGUGUGUAAAGAUCUUUGUAUAGAUCAAUUAUACAUGUUUUAAGUUAUUCAAACAUUGUUUUAUUUUUGUUUAAACUGUUUUUAUUAGUC